UCACACUGAUCCGAUGUCACAUAAUCAUAGGAAUAGUCUCAUAGAUUGCUCUCGUAUACAUCACAUAACUACCUUAUGAUUUAGUGCAAAUCAAGCUCACAUAUAAACUUGGAGUACAUACCUGUUUAACCUUUCGCAUUGAAUAUAUUUAUAAGCAAUUCUUAUUACGAAGUCUUACCCGGACAAAAUCCCCACACGUAGUCAUUGGGUCUUUAGAGCUCGGAUAUAGUACGAGCACGAAACUUACGGACAUUAAUCAGUGAUAAUAUUCUC
rnacentral:lncRNA from 1 species